rnacentral:rRNA from 1 species
UAGGCUGCAACCCGCCUACAUGAAGUUGGAAUUGCUAGUAAUCGCAGAUCAGAAUGCUGCGGUGAAUACGUUCCCGGGCCUUGUACACACCGCCCGUCACACCAUGGGAGCCGGUAAUACCCGAAGUCAGUAGUCUAACCGCAAGGGGGACGCUGCCGAAGGUAGGAUUGGCGACUGGGGUGAAGUCGUAACAAGGUAAC